rnacentral:rRNA from 1 species
GGGCCCGCACAAGCGGUGGAGCAUGUGGUUUAAUUCGAUGCAACGCGAAGAACCUUACCUGGUCUUGACAUCCUGUGCUAUGCUUAGAGAUAGGCAGUUCUUUUCGGAGACGCAGUGACAGGUGCUGCAUGGCUGUCGUCAGCUCGUGUCGUGAGAUGUUGGGUUAAGUCCCGCAACGAGCGCAACCCUUGUUCUUAGUUGCUAACGGUUCGGCCGAGGACUCUAGGAAGACUGCCAGUGUUAAGCUGGAGGAAGGUGGGGAUGACGUCAAGUCCUCAUGGCCCUUAUGACCAGGGCUACACACGUGCUACAAUGGUGAGGACAGAGAGUCGCCAACCCGCGAGGGUGAGCU